rnacentral:rRNA from 1 species
UACGUAGGGUGCGAGCGUUAAUCGGAAUUACUGGGCGUAAAGCGUGCGCAGGCGGUUUUGUAAGCCAGAUGUGAAAUCCCCGGGCUUAACCUGGGAACUGCAUUUGUGACUGGCAAGCUAGAGUAUGGCAGAGGGGGGUAGAAUUCCACGUGUAGCAGUGAAAUGCGUAGAUAUUGGGAAGAACACCGAUGGCGAAGGCAGCCAUCUGGACCGACACUGACGCUGAGGCGCGAAAGCGUGGGGAGCAAACAGG